CAGCAGCCGCGGGAAUACGAAGGGGGGCUAGCGUUGUUCGGAUUUACUGGGCGUAAAGCGCACGUAGGCGGAUCGAUCAGUCAGGGGUGAAAUCCCAGAGCUCAACUCUGGAACUGCCUUUGAUACUGUCGAUCUGGAGUAUGGAAGAGGUGAGUGGAAUUCCGAGUGUAGAGGUGAAAUUCGUAGAUAUCGGAAGGAACACCUGUGGCGAAAGCGGCUCACUGGACCAUUACUGACGCUGAGGCGCGAAAGCUAGGGGAGCAAACAGGAUUAGAUACCCCGGUAGUCCCUGUCUCUUAUA
rnacentral:rRNA from 1 species